CAAAUGACAUAUCUGAUAAAGGACAGACAUGGAAUAAAUGGUACUGCCAGGACAUCCUCCAAAAAGAGACAUCUGAGAUCACUGCUUGCUGGAGAAUCCAGGGACCCCAUCAGGUCAGCUAGAAGAAACUUGAAUGGUAAAGGAAACAUUCUGUGCACCACUGUUGGCAUAGUCAGAAGGAUAGACUUUAACUGGCUGGGUACCCUUGUGGCUGAGAGAUUCUGGGAGUUCUGACAAAUGUACAGCAGAAGGUUAGAAUGCUUACCAUGUCAGCCUAUGGAUCUAAUGGAAGCAAGAGUGGUGAGAGUCCUUUUUCUCUCACUUACUGAAUUUAGAUCAGCAAGAGAAAAUACUUGUGGAAAUAGUUCCUUGGGCUUAGUGACUCUGGAAUAUUUG